rnacentral:rRNA from 1 species
GGCGGUUUUUUAAGUUCUGAAGGUUGAAAGCCCCCGGCUUAACCGGGGAGGGUCAUUUGGAAACUGGGGAACUUUGAGUGCAGAAGAAGGAGAGUGGAAUUCCACGUGUAGCGGUGAAAUGCGUAGAGAUGUGGAGGAACACCAGUGGCGAAGGCGACUCUCUGGUCUGUAACUGACGCUGAGGAGCGAAAGCGUGGGGAGCGAACAGGAUUAGAUACCCUGGUAGUCCACGCCGUAAACGAUGAGUGCUAAGUGUUAGGGGGUUUCCGCCCCUUAGUGCUGCAGCUAACGCAUUAAGCACUCCGCCUGGGGAGUACGGUCGCAAGACUGAAACUCAAAGGAAUUGACGGGGGCCCGCACAAGCGGUGGAGCAUGUGGUUUAAUUCGAAGCAACGCGAAGAACCUUACCAGGUCUUGACAUCCUCUGACAAUCCUAGAGAUAGGACGUCCCCUUCGGGGGCAGAGUGACAGGUGGUGCAUGGUUGUCGUCAGCUCGUGUCGUGAGAUGUUGGGUUAAGUCCCGCAACGAGCGCAACCCUUGAUCUUAGUUGCCAGCAUUCAGUUGGGCACUCUAAGGUGACUGCCGGUGACAAACCGGAGGAAGGUGGGGAUGACGUCAAAUCAUCAUGCCCCUUAUGACCUGGGCUACACACGUGCUACAAUGGACAGAACAAAGGGCAGCGAAACCGCGAGGUUAAGCCAAUCCCACAAAUCUGUUCUCAGUUCGGAUCGCAGUCUGCAACUCGACUGCGUGAAGCUGGAAUCGCUAGUAAUCGCGGAUC